rnacentral:rRNA from 1 species
GACGAACGCUGGCGGCGUGCUUAACACAUGCAAGUCGAACGGUGAAAGCGGAGCUUGCUCCGCUGGAUCAGUGGCGAACGGGUGAGUAACACGUGGGCAACCUGCCCCUCACUUCGGGAUAACUCCGGGAAACCGGGGCUAAUACCGGAUAUGACCUCCUUGGGCAUCCUUGGAGGUGGAAAGUUUUUCGGUGAGGGAUGGGCCCGCGGCCUAUCAGCUUGUUGGUGGGGUAGUGGCUCACCAAGGCGACGACGGGUAGCCGGCCUGAGAGGGCGACCGGCCACACUGGGACUGAGACACGGCCCAGACUCCUACGGGAGGCAGCAGUGGGGAAUAUUGCGCAAUGGGCGAAGGCCUGACGCAGCAACGCCGCGUGCGGGAUGACGGCCUUCGGGUUGUAAACCGCUUUCAGCAGGGAAGAAGCCGCAAGGUGACGGUACCUGCAGAAGAAGCACCGGCUAACUACGUGCCAGCCGCCGCCGUAA